rnacentral:rRNA from 1 species
AGCAGCCGCGGUAAUUCCAGCUCCAAUAGCGUAUAUUAAAGUUGUUGCAGUUAAAAAGCUCGUAGUUGAAUUUCGGGAUCAAAUUGUCGGUCGUGCCUCGGUACGAACUGGUAUUAUUGGUUCCUACCUUCUGAAGAACCGCGAUGUCAUUAAUUUGGUGUCGUGGGGAAUCAGGACUGUUACUUUGAAAAAAUUAGAGUGUUUAAAGCAGGCUUACGCUUGAAUACAUUAGCAUGGAAUAAUGAAAUAGGACGUUUGAUUCUAUUUUGUUGGUUUCUAGGAUUGACGUAAUGAUUAAUAGGGAUAGUUGGGGGCAUUAGUAUUCAAUUGUCAGAGGUGAAAUUCUUGGAUUUAUUGAAGACUAACUACUGCGAAAGCAUUUGCCAAGGAUGUUUUCAUUAAUCAAGAACGAAAGUUAGGGGAUCGAAGACGAUCAGAUACCGUCGUAGUCUUAACCAUAAACUAUGCCGACUAGGGAUCGGAUGAUGUUAAUUUUUAAUGACUCAUUCGGCGCCUUACG